GUGAGCAGUGUGGAUGAGUAGUGUGGGUGAGCAGUGUACUUCAGUGUGGGUGAGUGGUGUGGGUGAGCAGUGUGGGUGAGUGGUGGGUGUGGGUGAGCAGGGUGGGUGAGCAGUGUGGGUGAGCGGUGUGAGUGAGCGGCGUGGGUGAGCGGUGUGGGUGAGCAGUGUGAGUGAGCAGUGUGGGUGAGCAGUGUGGGUAAGCAGUGUAGGUGAAGCGGUGUGGGUGAGUGGUGUGGGUGAGCAGUGUGGGUGAGCAGUGUGGGUGAGCAGUGUGGGUGAGCGGUGUGAGUGAGCAGCGUGUGUGAGCGUUGUGGGUGAGCAGUGUGAGUGAGCAGUGUGGGUGAGCAGUGUAGGUAAGCAGUGUGGGUGAGCGGUGUGGGUGAGCGGUGAGGAUGAGCAGUGUGGGUGAGCAGUGUGGGUGAGCAGUGUGGGUGAGCAGUGUGGGUGAGCAGUGUAGGUAAGCAGUGUGGGUGAGCGGUGUGGGUGAGCGUGUGGAGUGAGCAGUGUGGGUGAGCAGUGUGGAUGAGCAGUGUGGGUGAGUAGUGUGGGUGAGCAGUGUACUUCAGUGUGGGUGAGUGGUGUGGGUGAGCAGUGUACUUCAGUGUGGGUGAGUGGUGUGGGUGAGCAGUGUGGGUGAGUGGUGUACUUCAGUGUGGGUGAGUGGUGUGGGUGAGCAGUGUGGGUGAGUGGUGUAGCGGUGGGUGAGUGUGAGCAGCGUGGGUGAGCGGUGUGGGUGAGCAGUGUGGUGAGCAGUGUGGGUGAGCAGUGUAGGUAAGCAGUGUGGGUGAGCAGUGUGGGUGAGCAGUGUGGGUGAGCAGUGUGGGUGAGCAGUGUGGGUGAGCAGUGUGAGUGAGCAGUGUGGGUGAGCAGUGUGAGUGACCAGUGUGGGUGAGCAGUGUGAGUGAGCAGUGUGGGUGAGCAGUGUGGGUGAGCAGUGUGGGUGAGCAGUGUGAGUGAGCAGUGUGGGUGAGCAGUGUGGGUGAGCAGUGUGAGUGACCAGUGUGAGUGAGC
ensembl:lncRNA